UACGAAGGGGGCUAGCGUUGCUCGGAAUCACUGGGCGUAAAGGGUGCGUAGGCGGGUCUUUAAGUCAGGGGUGAAAUCCUGGAGCUCAACUCCAGAACUGCCUUUGAUACUGGCGACCUUGAGUCCGGAGAGGUGAGUGGAACUGCGAGUGUAGAGGUGAAAUUCGUAGAUAUUCGCAAGAACACCAGUGGCGAAGGCGGCUCACUGGCCCGGUACUGACGCUGAGGUGCGAAAGCGUGGGGAGCAAACAGGG
rnacentral:rRNA from 1 species